AUGUCCUGCAGAGCUCGCCUGGCGGCCGGGCCUCCCGCCGCGCCCUUCUGGGAGAUGCUGGCGCUGCUGGCCCAGGAGCCAGGCAUGGAGUGGCUGCAGCUGGGCCUCGCCGGCCAGGCGGAUCCUCUGCCGUUGUGUGGGACCGCGGCGGUGGCGCAUCCUGGUGUUUUGUGGCGGUGCGGAGACUGCGAUGUGGUGACUGGAAGGGAGUUCAGGUGUCCUGGGAAACACUCCUUGGGACCUUGGCCUCUGAAGACAUUGUUGUUGUUGGAGUGUUCAGGGGAUGUUAGGCUGUGGCAAGCCUACCUCGAAGGACUGAAGAAAUUCCUUGCCUUUAGGAAAGGCAUGGGGAUGCCUGCAGCCUGGCCGAUUCCAGAGGAUCAAGUUAGAGGGUUUUUGGCUGUGGAGUCUCUUUACUCAUCCUCAAAGACGUUGAUGUAUGUGGCAGCACUGUCUUACUUGUCGAGACUGACCGGUAACCCUGAUCCUCUAGAAGAUGCUAUAACCUGUUGCAUGGUGAUAGGGUUGAAACGUCAAGUGGGCAUUCUGAGGGAUAAAUACACUCCUAUAACAAUUGAGGUGUUACGCUCUCUCUUAGGAGCUCUGGAGUCUGUAUGUGUAUCCCAUUAUGAAUGCUUGCUGUUUCGUGCCUUGUUCACUGCAGCUUUUUUCGGGGCACUUCGAAUAGGAGAGAUGGUGGCAAAGCACCGUGCUGUACUGCAGCCAGAACUGCUGCACUUGAGUGACAUCCAGGUGACAGAAAGCAGAGCGGUGUUUUGUCUGCGUAACUCUCCUGUUGGCCAGGAGAGGCAUGUCAUCAGCCUCGGGCUGUCUGGGGAGCCAUGGGUGUGCCCUGUCCUGGCCCUCCAGAGCUACGUGAUGCUGCGUUCACCACUUGAAGGGCCGCUCUUUGUGCACACAGAUAACAUGCCAGUCACAAGGAGGGAGUUCCUGGCUGUGCUCCGACGGGCCCUGAGGCUGCUGGGGCUGCCUGCGGAGCGGUACGGCGUGCAUUCCUUCUGGCUGGGGACUGUCCUCACUGCUGCACGCUGCGGGUAUCCCGGGGAGGACAUCACCCGCCUGGCGAGGUGGCCCUGUGUGAUCCCAGAGAGGCCAUAGCCAUGGAGGCUGGGGGGGAAAUAGCUCCUGACUUCUCCCCUUUCUGUAAGGGUUUAACCACAUAGUUUCUAGUUGGUGGCAGUAACUUAAGUACCAAUGCCUGUAAUGAUUUUUCUGCCUCACACCACAGUGGCUCCUGAAGUUCGCCUGCAGUCGCUGCUUACACUGUCUGUAGCCCCAGGGGUGGGGGGGUGUCAGACCCCCUGCAUGUAGACCUUGUGUGCCUUGACAGCAAGUCUGCAGAUGCUUUUAUUUUGUGUCACUUGAAUUAAUAAAUGCUUCCUUUUUUAAAACA
rnacentral:lncRNA from 1 species